rfam:Rhodnius prolixus Rhodnius_prolixus-3.0.3-11318.1, whole genome shotgun sequence.
GGGAAUGUAGUUAAAAAUAACAUUUAAUUUGCAAUUAAAAAGUACUAUUCAAGUCUUUCUCA